rnacentral:rRNA from 1 species
CCUACGGGUGGCUGCAGUGAGGAAUAUUGGGCAAUGGGCGGGAGCCUGAACCAGCCAAGUCGCGUGAGGGAUGACGGCCCUAUGGGUUGUAAACCUCUUUUGCCGGGAAGCAAAGUGCCGCACUUGUGCGGUUUGGAGAGUACCCGGAGAAAAAGCAUGGGCUAACUCCGUGCCAUCAGCCGCGGUAAUACGGAGGAUGCGAGCGUUAUCCGGAUUUAUUGGGGUAAAGGGGUGCGUAGGCGGACACUUAAGUGAGCGGUAAAAUUGCGGGGCUAAACAGCGUGGAUCUGUUGAAACUGGGUGCCUUGAGUGGGCGAGAAGUACGUGGAAUGCGUGGUGUAGCGGUGAAAUGCAUAGAUAGUACGCAGAACUCCGAUUGCGAAGGCAGCGAACCGGCGCCCAACUGACGCUGAAGCACGAAGGCGUGGGUAGCGAACAGGAUUAGAUACCCGAGUAGUC